rnacentral:rRNA from 1 species
AACAAAAACAUGUCUUUUUGAGGUUAAAUAUAAAGUCUAAUCUGCCCACUGAUAAAUUAUUUAAUGGCCGCAGUAUUUUAACUGUGCAAAGGUAGCAUAAUAAUUAGCUUUUUAAUUGAAGGCUUGUAUGAAUGAUUGGACGAGAUAUAAACUGUCUCAUAAAAAUUUUUUUUUGAAUUUAAUUUUUUAGUUAAAAAGCUAAAAUAAAUUUAAAAGACGAGAAGACCCCAUAGAUCUUUAUAUUUUUUUUAUUAUUAUUCUGUAGUUUUUUUAUAGAUUAAUAAAUAAAAAUAUUUUGUUGGGGUGACAUUGAAAUUUAAUAAACUUUCAAAAUUUAAUAACAUUAAUCUAUGAAUUUAUGAUCCUUUAUUAUUGAUUAAAAAUUUAAGUUACCUUGGGGAUAACAGCGUAAUUAUUUUGGAGAGUUCUUAUUGAUAAAAUAGAUUGCGACCUCGAUGUUGGAUUAAGAUUAAUUUUGGGUGUAGCAGUUCAAAUUAUUAAGUCUGUUCGACUUUUAAUUUCUUACGUGAU